GAUGAACGCUGGCGGCGUGCCUAAUACAUGCAAGUCGAGCGAAUGGAUUAAGAGCUUGCUCUUAUGAAGUUAGCGGCGGACGGGUGAGUAACACGUGGGUAACCUGCCCAUAAGACUGGGAUAACUCCGGGAAACCGGGGCUAAUACCGGAUAACAUUUUGAACCGCAUGGUUCGAAAUUGAAAGGCGGCUUCGGCUGUCACUUAUGGAUGGACCCGCGUCGCAUUAGCUAGUUGGUGAGGUAACGGCUCACCAAGGCAACGAUGCGUAGCCGACCUGAGAGGGUGUUCGGCCACACUGGGACUGAGAACCGGCCCAGACUCCAACGGGAGGCAGCAGUAGGGAAUCUUCCGCAAUGGACGAAAGUCUGACGGAGCAACGCCGCGUGAGUGAUGAAGGCUUUCGGGUCGUAAAACUCUGUUGUUAGGGAAGAACAAGUGCUAGUUGAAUAAGCUGGCACCUUGACGGUACCUAACCAGAAAGCCACGGCUAACUACGUGCCAGCCGCCGCAGUAA
rnacentral:rRNA from 1 species